rnacentral:rRNA from 1 species
AUUGAACGCUGGCGGAAUGCUUUACACAUGCAAGUCGAACGGCAGCACGGACUUCGGUCUGGUGGCGAGUGGCGAACGGGUGAGUAAUACAUCGGAACGUGCCCAGUCGUGGGGGAUAACGUAGCGAAAGCUACGCUAAUACCGCAUACGAUCUAAGGAUGAAAGCGGGGGAUCGCAAGACCUCGCGCGAUUGGAGCGGCCGAUGGCAGAUUAGGUAGUUGGUAGGGUAAAGGCCUACCAAGCCGACGAGCUGUAGCUGGUCUGAGAGGAUGAUCAGCCACACUGGGACUGAGACACGGCCCAGACUCCUACGGGAGGCAGCAGUGGGGAAUUUUGGACAAUGGGCGCAAGCCUGAUCCAGCCAUUCCGCGUGCAGGAUGAAGGCCUUAGGGUUGUAAACUGCUUUUGUACAGAACGAAAAGGCUCUGGUUAAUACCCGGGGCUCAUGACGGUACUGUAAGUAUAAGCACCGGCUAACUACGUGCCAGCAGCCGCCGUAA